AUCAAUUAGUCACUGAAAGCCAAGCCCACAAGUAGGUACAGGCAGGCCUUGACCGACAUCGGUUGUUGAGCCAAAGAAGAAGAAGAAGUGCCAUUUUAGCUAAAGUAAGUGGUAGAAGUUCGCCCCAAUGCGUGCUGGCUCCGUCGGAAGCGGUACGUGCAUGUACCGGCAUAGAAAAGUGGUGUGUUGGACAACACAACACAAGACAGCGGAUAUAAUGCAGAAACGAUAUGGGCCUGCCGCAGGUGUUUGCGACUGUGUGUUGCGUUGUGUAUGAUUCGGUAAGUUGUAAGCGGACCACGAAAGAAGAAGAACAUUGUUUGGCGAAGCUAGCGUCUAGGAUGCUAAUCAUGGUGUUUAUUCCUUUUUUGGAGCCAAUUUUCUAUCCUGGAACGUGGGCUAACGAGGAACCAGUUAAGAACAUCCUCCGGAAGUUGUACGGCGACGAAGCAAGCUCUACUAGCACAACACGCUAGAAGCCCAGCUGGCACCGGGUGUCCCGAUUGCGCCGCUGGACGGUGUCGAGCGCUCGUUCACAACGUUCUGGGCAGGAAUUCAACCCUUCGGAUUAUUAUCCUCUGUCUCACAAUAGCUGCAGCAACAACAGGACCGAACCGACCGCACUACUGAUUGCGGUCAAAUUUCCUGGCAGGAGAAAAAAUCCACAAGUGUAUCGAUUUCAUCGACGGCCGCUCGCUGGAGGCACCAACAUGCCACUGAAUAACCCCAGAAAGGCGACAAACACUCAUCUCCAGUGGCAAAUUGCUAACGUGAACCCACUUCUGCACAUCUACACGACAUCACGUUAAUAGUGUUAUUGUGUUAAUUAUAAAAAAAAAACUUGAUGUUAACGAGUUAAGUUUAAUCUUAAGUGCGCUUUAAGGCAUAAAUCGAUAUGCCUAUUUUUAGGUAAA